ensembl:lncRNA
CGCCUCUCUCAUCCCCUCAGCGCUUUGCUCUUCAGUGUUUAAACUUUCCUUGAAAGAGACUUACCUCCCAGCAUCCUGUACUACAGUUAUUAAACCCUGUCUUUGCCUUGAACUUGAGCCAGGAUUUAUUGUCACUUUCCCCUCGUGCGUGGCUGCAGGACGCGUCUCGGUGCGCGCACAAUGGAAAGGAGAACGCGUCCGGUGCGUCCGCCCCGGUCCUCCUCCUUUGCUGCUACUGCUGCUGCUUUUGUCUCCGGGACAAACUGACAAAACCCUGCCCAGGAGGCAGAGGCACAUCCCGGGCUGGAGGAUUUGCGUGCCCCCACUCAGAAGAUAAAACAGACACGGAGACUGAGUCGUAAACCCCGAGAGAGAGGACAUGGACGUACUGUAGCCAGCAAUAAGAAUAUAAGGAGGAUGUUGCCCAGCUAUUAUUAGACAUAGAGCUCAAACUGCAGGGAGGCAGAAAAACAAACAGUCUUCACUGUGCGUCUAGCUCAGCGUGCCAAGGAUGCCGCUAAGUCUGCGAGGGACAGAGGGCCUUUAUUCGCUACUCAAAGUCACCGG